rnacentral:misc_RNA from 1 species
CGGGGUUGUUGCUGGCCCCCCAAACGGGGCAUGUGCACGCUCUGUUUACACAUCCACUCACACCUGUGCACCCUCUGUAGUCUCAUGGUUCGGAAGACCCCGUCUUCCUUCCGUGGCUCUACGUCUUUACACACACGCCGUAGUGAUGUCUCAUGGAAUGUUUUUCUGCGUUUAACGCAAUACAAUACAACUUUCAGCAACGGAUCUCUUGGCUCUCGCAUCGAUGAAGAACGCAGCGAAAUGCGAUAAGUAAUGUGAAUUGCAGAAUUCAGUGAAUCAUCGAAUCUUUGAACGCACCUUGCGCCCCUUGGUUAUUCCUUGGAGCAUGCCUGUUUGAGUAUCAUGAACACCUCAACUCUCAUGGUCUUCCAUGAUGAGCUUGGACUUUGGGGGUUUGCUGGCCCUGCGGCCGGCUCCUCUCAAAUGAAUUAGCUUGCCAGUGUUUGGUGGCAUCACGAGUGUGAUAACUAUCUACGCUCGCGGUCGUCCGCCAGGUAACCCUCAGCGAUGAAGGUUCAUUGGGGCUUAUAAACGUCUCUCCUCGGCGAGGACAACUUUUGAACGUUCGAUCUCAAAUCAGGUAGGACUACCCGCUGAACUUAAGCAUAUC